GGGGUUGUGGCUUAGUGGUAGAGUGCUCACCUAUCAUGUGUAAGACCCUGGGUUUGAUCCUCAGCACCCAUA
rnacentral:tRNA from 1 species